CGGGGGGAGCAAGCGUUGUUCGGAUUUACUGGGCGUAAAGGGCGCGUAGGCGGCCACCGCAAGUCGACUGUGAAAUCUCCGGGCUUAACCCGGAACGGUCAGUCGAUACUGCGGGGCUAGAGUGCAGAAGGGGCAACUGGAAUUCUCGGUGUAGCGGUGAAAUGCGUAGAUAUCGAGAGGAACACCUGCGGCGAAGGCGGGUUGCUGGGCUGACACUGACGCUGAUGCGCGAAAGCUAGGGGAGCGAACGGGAUUAGAUACCCCGGUAGUCCUAGCCUUAAACGAUGAAUGCUUGGUGUCUGGGGUUCUAUAGUCCCCGGGUGCCGUCGCUAACGCUUUAAGCAUUCCGCCUGGGGAGUACGGUCGCAAGACUG
rnacentral:rRNA from 1 species